rnacentral:rRNA from 1 species
GACGAACGCUGGCGGCGUGCUUAACACAUGCAAGUCGAACGGAAAGGCCCUGCUUUUGUGGGGUGCUCGAGUGGCGAACGGGUGAGUAACACGUGAGUAACCUGCCCUUGACUUUGGGAUAACUUAAGGAAACUGGGGCUAAUACCGGAUAGGAGCUCCUGCUGCAUGGUGGGGGUUGGAAAGUUUCGGCGGUUGGGGAUGGACUCGCGGCUUAUCAGCUUGUUGGUGGGGUAGUGGUUUACCCAGGCAUUGACGGGUAGCCGGCCUGGGAGGGUGACCGGCCACAUUGGGACUGAGAGACGGACCAGACUCCUACGGUGGGCAGCAGUGGGGAAUAUUGCACAAUGGGCGGAAGCCUGAUGCAGCAACGCCGCGGGCGGGAUGACGGCCUGCGGGUUGUAAACCGCUUUCGCCUGUGACGAAGCGGGAGUGACGGUAAUGGGUAAAGAAGCACCGGCUAACUACGUG